AACCACCUGAUCCCAUCCCGAACUCAGAAGUGAAACGAUGCAUCGCCGAUGGUAGUGUGGGGUUUCCCCAUGUGAGAGUAGGUCAUCGUCAAGA
rnacentral:rRNA from 11 species